AAAAUGGCAGCGCUGGAGGAAGAAUUCACGUUGUCUUCGGUAGUCCUGAGCGCCGGGCCUGAAGGACUCCUAGGCGUGGAGCAGAGCGACAAAACAGACCAGUUUCUAGUGACAGACAGCGGCAGGACAGUCAUCCUCUAUAAGGUUUCUGAUCAGAAACCCUUGGGGAGCUGGUCAGUGAAACAAGGUCAAAUUAUAACAUGUCCAGCUGUGUGCAACUUUCAAACUGGAGAGUAUGUUGUUGUACACGAUAAUAAGGUUUUAAGAAUAUGGAAUAAUGAAGAUGUAAACCUGGAUAAAGUAUUUAAAGCUACAGCUGGAGUGCAAUGGCUCGAUCUCAACUCACUGCAACCUCCCCCUCCUGGGUUCAAGCAAUUCUCCUGCCUCAGCCUCCCGAGUAGCUGGGAUUACAGUUGUCAGCAGAAGUAUAUAGGAUACUUUCAGUGCAAGGGACAGAACCCUUGGUGCUCUUCAAG
rnacentral:sRNA from 1 species